UAAUACAGAGGGUGCAAGCGUUGUUCGGAAUCACUGGGCGUAAAGCGCGCGCAGGCGGAAGUGCAAGUCCGAAGUGAAAUCCCGCCGCUCAACGGCGGGGCUGCUUCGGAGACUGCACCUCUAGGGACCGGUAGAGGCUGGUAGAAUUGCUGGUGUAGCGGUGGAAUGCGUAGAGAUCAGCAAGAAUACCCGUGGCGAAGGCGGCCAGCUGGGCCGGAUCCGACGCUGAGGCGCGAAAGCGUGGGGAGCAAACAGGAUUAGAUACCCUGGUAGUCCACGCCCUAAACGAUGUCAACUGGUUGUUGGGUCUUCACUGACUCAGUAACGAAGCUAACGCGUGAAGUUGACCGCCUGGGGAGUACGGCCGCAAGGUUG
rnacentral:rRNA from 1 species